GGGGCCGCAAUGGUUUCGACGGGGGCGCGAAGCCGUAAAACAGCCAUCUGAGGCGGGAGUCCUCAUUAAAAGCCCACCGUUUAUAAAAUAAACGACAACGAUUAUUCAGAACUCGUAGCGGCUUAAUCGCCGUUGCCGUCGGACCCCGUUUUCCUGUUACGGGACAAUCCGGCGCCGACUAAACAGGGAACUUCCGCGCCGACGCCCGUAAGCGCGGAAAGAUCUUCGGGAUACCGGGGCCGGAAGCCCGCCGUUUGGCGUCCGGCUGAGGGAAUCUUAAACAUACGGCUGUGAUGGGAGAAGUUUUCGGAAGAGCGUUUUCGGACAGGGGUUCGAUUCCCCUCGGCUCCAGUU
rnacentral:sRNA from 1 species